rnacentral:rRNA from 1 species
AUUGAACGCUGGCGGCGGGCCUAACACAUGCAAGUCGAGCGGAUGAAGGGAGCUUGCUCCUGGAUUCAGCGGCGGACGGGUGAGUAAUGCCUAGGAAUCUGCCUGGUAGUGGGGGAUAACGUCCGGAAACGGGCGCUAAUACCGCAUACGUCCUGAGGGAGAAAGUGGGGGAUCUUCGGACCUCACGCUAUCAGAUGAGCCUAGGUCGGAUUAGCUAGUUGGUGGGGUAAAGGCCUACCAAGGCGACGAUCCGUAACUGGUCUGAGAGGAUGAUCAGUCACACUGGAACUGAGACACGGUCCAGACUCCUACGGGAGGCAGCAGUGGGGAAUAUUGGACAAUGGGCGAAAGCCUGAGCCAGCCAUGCCGCGGGUGUGAAGAAGGUCUUCGGAUUGUAAAGCACUUUAAGUUGGGAGGAAGGGCAGUAAGUUAAUACCUUGCUGUUUUGACGUUACCAACAGAAUAAGCACCGGCUAACUUCGU